AUACAUGCAAGUCGAGCGGACUUGAAGAGAAGCUUGCUUCUCUGAUGGUUAGCGGCGGACGGGUGAGUAACACGUAGGCAACCUGCCCUCAAGUUUGGGACAACUACCGGAAACGGUAGCUAAUACCGAAUAGUUGUUUUCUUCGCCUGAAGAGAACUGGAAAGACGGAGCAAUCUGUCACUUGGGGAUGGGCCUGCGGCGCAUUAGCUAGUUGGUGAGGUAACGGCUCACCAAGGCGACGAUGCGUAGCCGACCUGAGAGGGUGAUCGGCCACACUGGGACUGAGACACGGCCCAGACUCCUACGGGAGGCAGCAGUAGGGAAUCUUCCGCAAUGGGCGAAAGCCUGACGGAGCAAUGCCGCGUGAGUGAUGAAGGUUUUCGGAUCGUAAAGCUCUGUUGCCAGGGAAGAACGCUUGGGAGAGUAACUGCUCUC
rnacentral:rRNA from 1 species